GAAGCCCGGCGGGUUCCCUCCCCGCGCUGCGCCCGCCGGAGCAUCGGGAGCGUCGCGUUUUUGCCGUCUGCGCCGGGGGAUGGGAUCAGGCGAGCGCAGGGCCUCCACACAAGCUCCCGUUUCUGCUCUGGAAACGGUCAUAAGAGGAAGCUCCGAGCUUUAUUCUCGUGAAGAACAUUUUUCUCGUUCUCGCAGCAUUACAGGUUAACGUGAUGUUACUUCUGAUCUCCGCUAGAUACAGAACCAGUAAUAACCAGUCUAACCUCCCUAAGAGGCCGAUCCUCUGCACGCGACAGGGAACGCCACAGACGACGCUAUUCGUGCAGACACCGCUUGAGUUACGGCGUCUUCCCGAACUGACCUGUGGAAUGCGGUGCUUUGCUGAAAGCUACACGUUCUCUGGGAAAACCUCUACCACAAGGCUAGAGGAGAAGGAGGAAGAGGCCCAACAGAAGUCCUGAAUGUUCAGACUGCUUUAAUCGAAAAGGAUCUCCUCUGAUCCUCAGUAUGGAGGGGCUGCACACAGGGUUGCAAUGCAGGACUCUGCAGGCUACGGCUGCUCUCCCUCCUGUAAAGUAUGCACAAUAGAUUCCAGUUUGUCUCCUGGAGAAGAUACCAGUACUAAGUGAAAGCAGGUAAUUACAAACAGGAUGGAGGCAUGGAAUAUUUUGGGGGGAAGAUGGUUUAGCAGCUGGUGACUGUAGCUUCCAGGUAGUCUGUCUUGACUUGAGGGCAUCCAUGCAUUUGCCUGAAGCAAGCAAGCAUGUUAAUUGCAUUUCAGUUGCACACAAGCCUCCAGGAGUUACUCCUGCGCGUUGGUAAUACCACUGCCUGCCCGGUGCCUAAAACCAGUAAAGUUGGCCAACUUUACAGAUAAACCCUUCUGGUGUGGAGGAAGUUGUCUUAAUCCCAAUCAUUCUACUAAUCCGGUUUACCGAGUACCCCGCAGCAGAUGUACGUGAGCAGUAGUCAGCUGUGGCCCAGCAGUAGAAAUUUCCUUGGUAGGCUCCGUCAAAGCCAACACGUUAUGUAACAACACUGACUGAAAAAAACUAUUUCCAACUAUCAGGAUUUUUUGUGGAGUUGGCAGCCAUGCUCUUUAAGAGGAAAAAUACUGCAAAUCAACCCUACCUCUGUCAGAAGUGUGAAAAAGGAGGUUUAUUUGUAUGUUGCAAUAAUUGUUUCUUACUGACUUCUACAAUUUGGCAUUGGGAGACAGCAGGAAGAACCGGAGCCUUUGUUCAGAGCUGAACCAUGAGGGCUCGGGAGCUUUUUGGGGACUGAGCUUGGGCACAACUGCUAAGGCAGUGAACAGCGUGAAGCCUGUGCAUUCAUCUAUGUGUUAAAACAAACAGGGGAAAUUACAGGAACUUGGUGGUAGAGGUGGUAAGGAUAUAGCUUGGAUUCAAGUGUUGUUUGUACACGCUUUCAAAAAUUCUGGCUAUGAUAAUAUUUCACACUACUUAGUUGAGUUUCAUUCUGCUUUGUAAUGUUGCCUUAUGAAUUAAAAAUGUGUUAACCUUG